CAAGGCAGGUGGAUCACAAGGUCAGGAGAUCAAGACCAUCCUCCUGGCUAACAAGGUGAAACCCUGUCUCGUCUCUACUAAAAAAAAUACAAAAAAUUAGCCGGGCGUGGUGGCAUGUACCUGUAGUCCCAGCUACUCAGGAGGCUGAGGCAGGAAAAUCGCUUGAACCCAGGAAGUGGAGGUUGCAGUGAGCCAAGAUCAUACCACUGCACUCCAGCCUGGGCGACAGAGGGAGACUCCGUCUCAAAAAGAAAAAAAGCAAUAAAUGCUCUUCCAGAAAACUCAAAAAUGAAGAUAAGCUAAAAGAAAAUGGAAAGCACCAGAAUACCAGAAUCUUUCCACUCACUGAUGAUCAGAGUUAAUACCUCAGUGUCUUCUGUGGCUUCAGCGUCACCUAGUGCAGGCUGCCAUUCAACAAACGCAUUGUCAACAGUCAACCAAAAGAAACCCAUUGGCCACCAUACCCUGAGGACUAACCCUGACACAGAUGCCCUUCCAGAUGCCCUCAAUAGUCUAACUGAUUCCAUCGCCCCAGCCUUGGGGGAGAAGCACUGCUGCCUAUGCACUCCAUUUACAGGGUUAUAGAGUGGAAAGUCCCACAAUCUUUUUCUUCUCUAUUUUCAGAAAAACGUUGACCUCUUGGUGAGAAUGUAAAGAAGGGAACGCUUGCUUAUACACUGUUGGUGAACUGUCACCCCUACAACUCAGCUUGCAACCAGCCCUGGCCACCACCAGUUUCCCCACACUGAGCUGAAUAUUGGACAUGCCCAUCUUAGGCAUUCCAGCCCAUUCUGAAAUUCCACAUCGAUUCACCCGACAAAGUCUGAAGUUCCAGGGCAAUUUAUCUGGAAAAGCUCACCUGGAAUCACGUGUCAUUUCAACCAACAACUGUUGAAGAGGACGUGGCAUUAAAACCAAGGGUAUCAAUUA
rnacentral:lncRNA from 1 species